GACGAACGCUGGCGGCGUGCCUAAUACAUGCAAGUCGAGCGGUAAGGCCCUUCGGGGUACACGAGCGGCGGACGGCUGAGUAGCGCGUAGGAACGUACCCCAAAGUGAGGAAUAAGCACCAGAAAUGGUGUCUAAUACCGCAUGUGGUCUUCGGAUUAAAGCCUUCGGGCGCUUUGGGAGCGGCCUGCGUAUGAUUAGCUUGUUGGUGAGGUAAUGGCUCACCAAGGCGACGAUCAUUAGCUGGUCUGAGAGGAUGAUCAGCCAGACUGGGACUGAGACACGGCCCAGACUCCUACGGGAGGCAGCAGUAGGGAAUUUUCCACAAUGGACGAAAGUCUGAUGGAGCAACGCCGCGUGCAGGAUGAAUGCCUUCGGGUUGUAAACUGCUCUUAUAGGUGAAGAUUAUGACGGUAACCUAUGAAUAAGGAUCGGCCAACUCCGUGCCAGCCGCCGCGGUAA
rnacentral:rRNA from 1 species